UACGGGGGGGGUAAGCGUUGUUCGGAAUUACUGGGCGUAAAGGGCUCGUAGGCGGCCAACUAAGUCGGACGUGAAAUCCCUCAGCUUAACUGAGGAACUGCGUCCGAUACUGGAUGGCUUGGAUUUGGGAGAGGGAUGCGGAAUUCCAGGUGUAGCGGUGAAAUGCGUAGAUAUCUGGAGGAACACCGGUGGCGAAGGCGGCAUCCUGGACCGGUAUUGACGCUGAGGCGCGAAAGCCAGGGGAGCAAACGGG
rnacentral:rRNA from 1 species